rnacentral:rRNA from 1 species
CAAGGCAACCCGCUGAACUUAAGC